rfam:Triticum aestivum genome assembly, contig: Triticum_aestivum_CS42_TGACv1_scaffold_094013_2AL
GCCGGGAAGAGGAAGAAAGAGAGCUCAAGAGCACUAGGAAUGGGAACAUGGAGGAAAGCCCUGCUUGUUUGUUUGCACCUCUAGUCUCAGGGAUGCAAAUAUUUGGCAUGCAUGGAUCCUUUCCUGAUGCCUCCCAUUCCUACCGUUCUUGUGCACUCCAUCCCCUUCCUUUAGGAU